rnacentral:rRNA from 1 species
GACGAACGCUGGCGGCGUGCUUAACACAUGCAAGUCGAACGGUGAAGCUCCAGCUUGCUGGAGUGGAUCAGUGGCGAACGGGUGAGUAACACGUGAGCAACCUGCCCCUGACUCUGGAAUAAGCGCUGGAAACGGCGUCUAAUACUGGAUACGAGAAGGGCCCGCAUGGGCACUUUCUGGAAAGUUUUUCGGUUGGGGAUGGGCUCGCGGCCUAUCAGCUUGUUGGUGAGGUAAUGGCUCACCAAGGCAACGACGGGUAGCCGGCCUGAAGGGGCGACCGGCCAAACUGGGACUGGGACGCGGCACAGGCUACUACGGGGGGAGGCGGUGGGGAAUAUUGCACAAUGGGCGAAGGCCUGAUGCAGGGCCGCCGCUUGGGGAAUGCGGGCCUUGGGGUUGAAAACCUCUUCAGCAGGGAAGAAGCGAAAGUGACGGUACCUGCAGAAGAAGCACCGGCUAACUACGU